UACGUAGGGUGCGAGCGUUGUCCGGAAUUAUUGGGCGUAAAGAGCUCGUAGGCGGCUUGUCGCGUCGGAUGUGAAAGCCCGGGGCUUAACUCCGGGUCUGCAUUCGAUACGGGCAGGCUAGAGUUCGGUAGGGGAGAUCGGAAUUCCUGGUGUAGCGGUGAAAUGCGCAGAUAUCAGGAGGAACACCGGUGGCGAAGGCGGAUCUCUGGGCCGAUACUGACGCUGAGGAGCGAAGCGUGGGGAGCGAACAGG
rnacentral:rRNA from 1 species